rnacentral:rRNA from 1 species
UACGAAGGGGGCUAGCGUUGUUCGGAAUUACUGGGCGUAAAGCGCGCGCAGGCGGUCUUCCAAGUCAGUGGUGAAAGCCCGGAGCUCAACUCUGGAACUGCCAUUGAAACUGUAAGACUUGAGGAUGAGAGAGGUGAGUGGAAUUCCCAGUGUAGAGGUGAAAUUCGUAGAUAUUGGGAAGAACACCGGUGGCGAAGGCGGCUCACUGGCUCAUAUCUGACGCUCAGGCGCGACAGCGUGGGGAUCAAACAGG